UACGUAGGGUGCGAGCGUUGUCCGGAAUUAUUGGGCGUAAAGAGCUCGUAGGCGGUGUGUCACGUCGGCCGUGAAAACCUGCAGCUUAACUGUGGGCGUGCGGUCGAUACGGGCAUCACUGGAGUUCGGCAGGGGAGACUGGAAUUCCUGGUGUAGCGGUGAAAAUGCGCAGAUAUCAGGAGGAACACCGGUGGCGAAGGCGGGUCUCUGGGCCGAUACUGACGCUGGAGGAGCGAAAGCGUGGGGAGCAAACAGG
rnacentral:rRNA from 1 species